AAGAGAUGUCAAGAGAACCCGGAAUCCAGAUGAAGCCCCACCCGCCCUUCAGGAUGCCAGCCUUGGCAACAUUGUGAGACCCUGUUUCUACAAAAACUAAACAAGUGUAGUGGUGCACGCCUGUAUUCCCAGCUACUUGGGAGGCUGAGAUGGGAAGAUCACUUGAGCCUGGGAGGUUGAGGCUGCAUUGAGCUGAGAUCAAGCCACGGCACUCCAGCCUGGGAGACAGAGCGAAACCCCAUCUCAAAAAAACAAAGAAAGUGGAUGCGCGCUGCUCCUGCCAUUGGAUCAUCGCAGCAUUUUUCUUUUCUCUGAUAUGCGCCUUUUUCCUCAUCGUGGGGGCUCAUGUUUUCGUAGUUCCCUCUCGCUACUAGAUUGUGAGCUGCGUGAAGGAAGGUUCAUAGUUGUGUUGUAUGUACAGGCACACAAAAUUUGUCCUUGGAUAAACACAUAUCCUCUUCCUUCUUCUCUCUGAAUUUCUUUAUUUAAAAAAAAAAAAUUAGAGAUGGAGUCUCACUGUCUUGCCCAGGCUGGUGUCAAACUCUUAGGCUCAAGUGAUCCUCCCGCCUCUACUAAUAUGAAUUAUUAGCCUAUGCUAAUAUGAAUUCCUAUACUAAUAUGAUUGAAAUUAGUUUGACUUCUAUAAUAAUUGUUCUCCCAGAUUGGGCUUCUGUUUUGAUAGUAGAACUAAAUUAUUAGGCUAUUUCAAG
rnacentral:lncRNA from 1 species